AUUCAACGCUGGCGGCAGGCCUAACACAUGCAAGUCGAGCGGAGCGGCGGACGGGUGAGUAAUGCCUAGGACUCUGCCUGGUAGUGGGGGAUAACGUCCGGAAACGGGCGCUAAUACCGCAUACUACCAGAUGAGCCUAGGUCGGAUUCGCAAGUUGGUGGGGUAAAGGCCUACCAAGGCGGCGAUCCGUAACUGGUCUGAGAGGAUGAUCAGUCACACUGAAAUUGAGACCCGUCCCAGACUCCUACGGUAGGCAGGAUUGGUGAAUAUGGCACAAUGGGCGAAAGCCUGAUCCAGCCAUGCCGCGUGUGUUAAGAAGGUCUUCGGAUUGUAAAGUACUUUAAGUUAGGAGGCGUUACCAACAGGAUAAGCACCGGCUAGCGUCGUGCCAGCGGGAGCGGUAAUUC
rnacentral:rRNA from 1 species